rnacentral:rRNA from 1 species
GAUGAACGCUGGCGGCGUGCCUAAUACAUGCAAGUCGAGCGAACGGACGAGAAGCUUGCUUCUCUGAUGUUAGCGGCGGACGGGUGAGUAACACGUGGAUAACCUACCUAUAAGACUGGGAUAACUUCGGGAAACCGGAGCUAAUACCGGAUAAUAUUUUGAACCGCAUGGUUCAAAAGUGAAAGACGGUCUUGCUGUCACUUAUAGAUGGAUCCGCGCUGCAUUAGCUAGUUGGUAAGGUAACGGCUUACCAAGGCAACGAUGCAUAGCCGACCUGAGAGGGUGAUCGGCCACACUGGAACUGAGACACGGUCCAGACUCCUACGGGAGGCAGCAGUAGGGAAUCUUCCGCAAUGGGCGAAAGCCUGACGGAGCAACGCCGCGUGAGUGAUGAAGGUCUUCGGAUCGUAAAACUCUGUUAUUAGGGAAGAACAUAUGUGUAAGUAACUGUGCACAUCUUGACGGUACCUAAUCAGAGAGCCACGGCUAACUACGUG